UGAGGAAUAUUGGUCAAUGGGCGAGAGCCUGAACCAGCCAAGUCGCGUGAAGGAAGAAGGUUCUAUGGAUUGUAAACUUCUUUUGCAGGGGAAUAAAUGACGGUACGUGUACUGUUUUGUAUGUACCUUGCGAAUAAGGAUCGGCUAACUCCGUGCCAGCAGCCGCGGUAAUACGGAGGAUCCGAGCGUUAUCCGGAUUUAUUGGGUUUAAAGGGUGCGUAGGUGGAUUGUUAAGUCAGUGGUGAAAGUUUUCAGCUCAACUGAAAAAUUGCCGUUGAAACUGUCGAUCUUGAGUGCAAAUGAGGUAGGCGGAAUGUGUUGUGUAGCGGUGAAAUGCUUAGAUAUAACACAGAACACCGAUUGCGAGGGCAGCUUGCUGGGCCAUUACUGACGCUGAUGCACGAAAGCGUGGGGAUCAAACA
rnacentral:rRNA from 1 species